UCGUGAAUCUCUCAGUCCUCCGCGAAAGCUCUCUGUCUCGUGAAACCUCUCUCGGCCCUCUCUCCCUAGUUUCCAAUUCCACACUUAAUUUCAACCCUCUAAAUCCCUCUCCUUCGCUCCUCUCUUUCCUCCACCACUCGUCUCUUCUUCAUCUUCCGAUUCUCUCGCUUUUCUUCUUUUGCUCUCGGAACCCAUCACCACCGUCCAAUUCUCCGACCAUCCGGCCACCCCCUCUGCCGCAACAACCGAUCACUACUCCCUGCCGCUUCCACCCACUUCGCCAAGCGCUUCUCCUCCCUCACCCAGCACGUUGUCGCCACUCCGUUAACCCCCUCGCCGUCAGUGUUCUCUGCUAUGGAAUUGGGGGUUGAGUCUAGCCAUCUGUGACUCGACUCGUUCUCCAGCUCCUUCCGAAGGAUCUCGAGCCUUUCGUCAUCGCCGUCGAAGACCUCGACAUGCAGAAAUAGAUUCAUUCUUUAGCAACAUUUUUGGGUUUUGGCAUAGUCGGCAUCGAAGACCUCGACUCGUUCUCCAGCUCGUUCCGGGGCUGUUGAAGGCUUUCUCUUCGUCGUUAAGAAGUAAUAGUUUCGAUUUCUUUGUUCUUGUUUUGGCAGUAACCCUCUAUUACAUUGUGUUAAUUCCAAGGUAACCCUCUAAAUCCUGCACUAUUUUUGUUCUUUCUAAAUGAUUUAAUUUCAUUUUGUUUACAUAAUACACGAUCAUCACUGUCCUCGCAUCUUUGUUUUAAUUUUCUUCAAUUCUUCACAGAGUACUCCAUACCGUAUUACCUUUUUGUGGCUAUCUUAACUAAGAAUUGAUUGGCCAAUGUAUGGAUAGUCUCUUGGGUUCUAACUUCUUAGCUGCUUCAAUUUUGAAAUUUUGGUUUGCUUUGUUUCUGAACUUCGUAGAACUUAGUUUUCUUCCUUUGUUUUUGUUGUUGAAAGUUUAUUAACUGCUGGGGUUGAAUAUGGCUUAUAGGCUUUGGGUUGAGAUUUCAGUCUAUUCCUCAGUUAAGAUGUUCUUCAUUAGCUUGCAGAUUACUUGGAUGUAGAUUUUUUUUUAUGAGGUGAUUCCACAAAAAUAUUAAGAAUUAAUUAAAUUUCAACAAGUGUGUCAAGUUUUGCUGCAUUUAGAACUGCAAGGGAAGAAUCAGAAACCUCAUUUGUGUUUAGCAUGUUUAUCAUAUCUUCUACCUUUGAUAUUCAAUUAACUCCCCUGUCAUUUGAUUUGGACAUUACUCUACCUAUAGUUUUUUUUUUUUUUUUUCAUACAAAACUAAAUACAUAUGGUAUUAUUUCUUUUGCACGCUAUUUGUUCUUUGGAAAACUUUUGAGGUUUCGUUUUCAAAAGAUUUUGGAGAUUGAUGUUUUCCUGUGGUUUUCUUUAAAUCUUGCAGGGAUCUGAGUAAUUAUGGUUCCAGGGGUCCAUUCACUUGCAAUUGUCAUGACUGAAACAGAAAGAGGAAGACUUGAGCAAUACAAAGGUCUUGAAGAUUUGGAAUUUGUAUAAGGGGUUCAAACCAGCAAUGGAUCCAUUGCAAUCACUAUGCGGAAGGAAAAAACAAGGUUAUCUGAUGAAUGUGUAUGUAAUUGCUUAGUGUUGCUGAUUUGAGUCUCCUUUUUAUUUUUAUUUUUUUCGCUUAUUGAAUUAUAUUUUUAAGCUGUGGGAGGGGAGAAACAUGAGUUCUCUUCAUGUCCUUAAUAUUCAAUAUCCAUUGUUCACAAAAUCUGGGUUCGUUGUUCAUGACAGUUUAUUGAUUCGUGCAUCAUUGAAAAUUCAAUGUCCUUCGACAGAAAAAAA